rnacentral:lncRNA from 1 species
UUUUCACAUAAUCUCCCUAGUAAGUUGAUUCUCAAUUCUGUGUCAUUUCUUAAGCAGGAUGUUAUAAGGACAGGAUUAAGAAAACUCUUCACUAAGAAGAAUAUAACAGACUCAGACUGUAUUUGGCACAAAAGAAUUAUUCCUGGAAUUUAUUUGAAAAUCUGAGUUCGACAACAAAAUGAUGAAAAUAUUAUUGAAGAUGUUAAAAGUUGACCUCCAAGGAAAUUCCAAAUAUUUUUAAAACAAUGAAUUCUAAAUUCUAUGAAUUCUUCACCUAAAAUUCUCUAGGAUGUCAAUUUUUAUCAUGUAAAUCUACGAUUGACUAUUAUUUAGUAAAAAAAUUUGGAUUACCAAAUGAGUUCCACAAAUGAAGUUCUUUUGUUGCAGAUAUAGCCCUAGUAAUUACUUUUUAUAUGACAUUCUUCUCACCAUUUGUCUCAACAAAAAAAUGUAACAGAGACUGCUAAACAAAGAAGCUCUGAGUGCAAUAAAGCUUGACAAAAUUCAAUGGCAUCUCUCAUAACAAAAAGGACAUUCAUUAUUUGGCAAAGAAGCUUCUGAAAAGAAAUUGGUGAUUAGAAAUCAAUAGUUCAGAUUCCAAUCCAUUCCGGAGCAAAAGCAAUUUUAUUGAAAAGAAGCCUUUUAUAAAUGAACCACCAACAUAAUUGAGCAUCAAACCCAUGAAAUUGGUUCUUAUAUACUACAAAAAACUCUUACUUGUAUGCUUCCACUCAUUAAUUAGGCAAGGGAGGAUCUAGAACAUUUUGUAAGAGAAUAUCAAAGCAAUUCACAACUCCCAGUAUAACAAGUUAAUUUGUCACUGCUGUAACUUGUAAAGCCCACUAGUAAGCAACAAAAUAAAAUUCUACCAGAGCAAUAGACAAGAUAGAAUAUAAAAUUAUGAUAGCAAUAUUAGGAAACAUAAGAUAAAAUCUAUCAUAAAAAUAGGGGGGAAGUCGAUGAAUGAAAAAAUUCGAUAACCCUAACCCCGUCAACCCAAAUCAAGAUGGAUAAAUGAUAUAAAAUUUAAACAGAAAAACUGAAGACAAACAUACAACAUAACGAAAUUGAAGAGAAAACCUUUAUAUCCUACCAAAAAGAAAUCUUCAGUAGUUAGAAGUGCCAAGUGCAGAAGCACUAUCUUAUCUGGUUCAAUGGAAGCCAAAUCUUCCAACAAAGAGAGGUAGAUUUUUUUUCACCUUUUACCGGUGAGUAAAGUUGUCGGAGCACAGAGAAAAUUUCUUUGCUGUUGGAGAGAAAAAGAACGGCGGCUGUUAGGUAUGACUGUGACGAGCGACAAGGAAAAGAGGUUUUGUUGGCUUAAAAAUUAUUUUUUGGUCACGAUAUCUAGUAGGCUUAGACAUUUAUGCCAUUAUCUUAAAUGCCAAACUUUUACUUAACUUGCUUGUCAUCGUUUUAUUUUUCUUUCAAAUAUUUUAUCAAUUAGCCAGUACAAUAAAGCCUGUGAUAAGAAAAUGAUAUGUUGGAUUUGCUUAUAAACUAUUUUGUUAUUCUAUUAAUUUACUUAGGAUCCAUUUGAAGCAGCUGCGGAUUGAA